AUUGAACGCUGGCGGCAUGCCUUACACAUGCAAGUCGAACGGUAACAGGUCUUCGGAUGCUGACGAGUGGCGAACGGGUGAGUAAUACAUCGGAACGUGCCUAGUAGUGGGGGUUAACUCCCCGAAAGAGUGGCAAAUACCGCUUGGGACCACCGAAGGAAAGCAGGGGAUGGAAAAACCUUGUGUACUAAGAGCGGCGGGUGGCGGAUUAGGUAGUUGGGGGGAUAAAGGCUUACCAAGCGGACGAGCUGUAGCUGGUCUGGGAGGACGAUCAGCCACAAUGGGACUGAGAAACGGCCCAGACUCCUACGGGAGGCAGCAGUGGGGAAUUUUGGACAAUGGGCGCAAGCCUGAUCCAGCAAUGCCGCGUGCAGGAUGAAGGCCUUCGGGUUGUAAACUGCUUUUGUACGGAUCGACAAGCCCCGGGUUAAUACCCUGGGGUCAUGACGGUACCGUAAGAAUAAGCACCGGCUAACUACGUGCCAGCCGCCGCCGUAA
rnacentral:rRNA from 1 species